UACAGAGGUCUCAAGCGUUGUUCGGAUUCAUUGGGCGUAAAGGGUGCGUAGGCGGCGCGGUAAGUCGGGUGUGAAAUCUCGGAGCUUAACUCCGAAACUGCAUUCGAUACUGCCGUGCUUGAGGACUGGAGAGGAGACUGGAAUUUACGGUGUAGCGGUGAAAUGCGUAGAUAUCGUAAGGAAGACCAGUGGCGAAGGCGGGUCUCUGGACAGUUACUGACACUGAGGCACGAAGGCCAGGGGAGCAAAACGGGG
rnacentral:rRNA from 1 species